GUAGGGUGCGAGCGUUGUCCGGAAUUAUUGGGCGUAAAGGGCUCGUAGGCGGUUUGUCGCGUCGGGAGUGAAAACACCGGGCUUAACUCGGUGCUUGCUUUCGAUACGGGCAGACUAGAGGCAUGCAGGGGAGAACGGAAUUCCUGGUGUAGCGGUGAAAUGCGCAGAUAUCAGGAGGAACACCGGUGGCGAAGGCGGUUCUCUGGGCAUGUCCUGACGCUGAGGAGCGAAAGUGUGGGGAGCGAACAGGAUUAGAUACCCUGGUAGUCCACACCGUAAACGUUGGGCGCUAGGUGUGGGAUCCAUUCCACGGGUUCCGUGCCGCAGCUAACGCAUUAAGCGCCCCGCCUGGGGAGUACGGCCGCAAGGCUAAA
rnacentral:rRNA from 1 species